AGAUUGAACGCUGGCGGCAUGCUUUACACAUGCAAGUCGAACGGGGUGAGGGGGCAACUCCUCAUUCAGUGGCGAACGGGUGAGUAAUGCAUCGGAACGUGUCCCGUAGUGGGGGAUAACCCGGCGAAAGCCGGACUAAUACCGCAUAUGCUCUACGGAGGAAAGUGGGGGACCGCAAGGCCUCACGCUAUGGGAGCGGCCGAUGUCCGAUUAGCUUGUUGGUGGGGUAAUGGCCUACCGAAGGCGACGAUCGGUAGCUGGUCUGAGAGGAUGAUCAGCCACACUGGGACUGAGACACGGCCCAGACUCCUACGGGAGGCAGCAGUGGGAAUUUGGACAAGUGGGGGCAACCCGUGAUCCAGCCAUCGCCGCGUGACGGGAAGAACGGCCUUCGGGUUGUAAACCGUCGUUUAACGUUCGGGAAGAAAAGACGAACGGCCAAUAACCCUGUGUUACUUGGACCGGUUACGGACGGAAUAAGCAACCGG
rnacentral:rRNA from 1 species